rnacentral:rRNA from 1 species
UGGGAAUUUUGGACAAUGGGCGAAAGCCUGAUCCAGCAAUGCCGCGUGUGUGAAGAAGGCCUUCGGGUUGUAAAGGCACUUUUGUCCGGAAAGAAAUCCUUGGCUCUAAUACAGUCGGGGGAUGACGUACCGGAAGAAUAAGCACCGGCUAACUACGUGCCAGCAGCCGCGGUAAUACGUAGGGUGCAAGCGUUAAUCGGAAUUACUGGGCGUAAAGCGUGCGCAGGCGGUUUGCUAAGACCGAUGUGAAAUCCCCGGGCUCAACCUGGGAACUGCAUUGGUGACUGGCAGGCUAGAGUAUGGCAGAGGGGGGUAGAAUUCCACGUGUAGCAGUGAAAUGCGUAGAGAUGUGGAGGAAUACCGAUGGCGAAGGCAGCCCCCUGGGCCAAUACUGACGCUCAUGCACGAAAGCGUGGGGAGC